CCUACGGGAGGCAGCAGUGAGGAAUAUUGGUCAAUGGCCGGAAGGCUGAACCAGCCAUGCCGCGUGAAGGUCAGUGCCCUAUGGGCGUUAAACUUCUUUUGUGCGGGAGCAAUAAUGGUCACGUGUGGCCAGACGAGAGUACCGUACGAAUAAGCAUCGGCUUACUCCGUGCCAGCAGCCGCGGUAAUACGGGGGAUGCAAGCGUUAUCCGGAUUUAUUGGGUUUAAAGGGUGCGUAGGCUGGGAGGUAAGUCAGCGGUGAAAUGCCCCCGCUCAACGGGGUGAAGUGCCAUUGAUACUGCCUUGCUGGAAUGCGGAUGCGGUGGGAGGAAUGUGUGGUGUAGCGGUGAAAUGCAUAGAUAUCACACAGAACACCGAUUGCGAAGGCAGCUCACGAAUCCGCGAUUGACGCUGAUGCACGAAAGCGUGGGUAUCAAACAGGAUUAGAUACCCCAGUAGUC
rnacentral:rRNA from 1 species